CUUUAUAAUCUAUUUAUGCAAAUACUUAAUUUUUGGUUUGUGUUUUUUUUUAUUUUUUUAAUUUUUUUUUAUUUGUUAUUUGCUUUUUGUUACUUUAGUUUUGCUUGUUCUCUAUGCUUUCUUGCAUGAUUAUCUGCAAUAUAUUGGCAGACACAUAUCAAUGUAAAUGCUAAUUCUGAUUUAUAUAUAUACAUAUACUCAUUUUCCAAUUUGCUGAGUUAAAAUUUUUGCCUUUAUUAUUCAUUUAUAUGUUUAUUCUCUGCUGCUUAUACAUGCAUAGUUUUUGCUAUUGCUAGUUAUUUACUUUUAUUCUGAACUGCUAUAAUGUGCUUAAUGCUGUGGUUGCUAUAUGCUUUACUUUAUUUUAUCAAAUACAGACUGACACAAAUGAGUUGAAGUUAGAAUAUGUAAAGUACAGACCACUUUUAAAGUGAUGUUUAUAUUUCAAAUUUAAGAAUGAGACGCUUGUUUAAAAUUAUCUUUCCUUGGUUGUGUUUAUGGUACAUGUACAUUAUAAUGAAAUGACAUUACUGUAGUAAGUUUUACACAAUCUUUGCUGAAACUUACUCAUUAAUAAGAUAUGCAUACACACACUCAGAAUGUGCAGUCUGUGUUUGACUGUUAGAUAGUUUUGUUAGUUUUCAAGAUAUAUUGAUCAUGCGUUAAUCUGAUUUACACUGUGAUACAGAAGUUU
rnacentral:lncRNA from 1 species